AUCUUUCUAGUAUAACUUAGUAUCUGUGACUUCCAAUCACCCAGUCCUGGUUAAACCCCAGGGAAAGAUA
rnacentral:tRNA from 1 species